UCACAUUUUUUUUUUCCAUUCAGAUCAGGAGCUACAUCUUCAGAAGGGAUUGCAGUGUUUUUUUCUUUCGAAUAGACUGUUUUACUUGUAGAAGCCCCCGGUUAGAAAGAAGAAUAUUUGUUAGUUUGUCUUUCCAACUGUUCAGCAAUACUUAUGAUCUUCAUAAGUGUCAUUGGGGACUAUAAUAUCACUUUUUCUUGUAGGGCAAACUUCAAGCCUCCAAUAAACCUCGCCAUAACGUGUUCUUCA
rnacentral:lncRNA from 1 species